rnacentral:rRNA from 1 species
CGGCCACAUUGGGACUGAGAUACGGCCCAGACUCCUACGGGAGGCAGCAGUGGGGAAUAUUGCACAAUGGGCGCAAGCCUGAUGCAGCGACGCCGCGUGAGGGAUGGAGGCCUUCGGGUUGUAAACCUCUUUUAUCGGGGAGCAAGCGAGAGUGAGUUUACCCGUUGAAUAAGCACCGGCUAACUACGUGCCAGCAGCCGCGGUAAUACGUAGGGUGCAAGCGUUAUCCGGAAUUAUUGGGCGUAAAGGGCUCGUAGGCGGUUCGUCGCGUCCGGUGUGAAAGUCCAUCGCUUAACGGUGGAUCCGCGCCGGGUACGGGCGGGCUUGAGUGCGGUAGGGGAGACUGGAAUUCCCGGUGUAACGGUGGAAUGUGUAGAUAUCGGGAAGAACACCAAUGGCGAAGGCAGGUCUCUGGGCCGUUACUGACGCUGAGGAGCGAAAGCGUGGGGAGCGAACAGGAUUAGAUACCCUGGUAGUCCACGCCGUAAACGGUGGAUGCUGGAUGUGGGGACCAUUCCACGGUCUCCGUGUCGGAGCCAACGCGUUAAGCAUCCCGCCUGGGGAGUACGGCCGCAAGGCUAAAACUCAAAGAAAUUGACGGGGGCCCGCACAAGCGGCGGAGCAUGCGGAUUAAUUCGAUGCAACGCGAAGAACCUUACCUGGGCUUGACAUGUUCCCGACAGCCCCAGAGAUGGGGCCUCCCUUCGGGGCGGGUUCACAGGUGGUGCAUGGUCGUCGUCAGCUCGUGUCGUGAGAUGUUGGGUUAAGUCCCGCAACGAGCGCAACCCUCGCCCUGUGUUGCCAGCACGUCGUGGUGGGAACUCACGGGGGACCGCCGGGGUCAACUCGGAGGAAGGUGGGGAUGACGUCAGAUCAUCAUGCCCCUUACGUCCAGGGCUUCACGCAUGCUACAAUGGCCGGUACAACGGGAUGCGACACCGCGAGGUGGAGCGGAUCCCUUAAAACCGGUCUCAGUUCGGAUUGGAGUCUGCAACCCGACUCCAUGAAGGCGGAGUCGCUAGUAAUCGCGGAUCAGCAACGCCGCGGUGAAUGCGUUCCCGGGCCUUGUACACACCGCCCGUCAAGUCAUGAAAGUGGGCAGCACCCGAAGCCGGUGGCCUAACCCCUUGUGGGAUGGAGCCGUCUAAGGUGAGGCUCGUGAUUGGGACUAAGUCGUAACAAGGUAGCCGUACCGGAAGGUGCGGCUG